rnacentral:lncRNA from 1 species
UCCUCAGGAGUUGUGGCUGUGUGCUUUACUGCACAGACCAGUUUGUUUGUGAGAAUGUGUCACCUAAUGCGAGUGAACCUACAUGAGAUCAUCACCCUUCCUGGGGGACCUCAGAGAAGAACUGAGAACCGCUGGCUCAGGACCCCGACUAGUACAGGUGCCAAGUUAAUUGAAUGGAGGAAGAAUAAUCUUUUCAAAUAAUGAUGCUGGGACAACUGGAUAACCACCUGCAAAGAAAUGAAAUUUUGGAACUCUAUUUCUCACCAUAUUCAAAAAUUAAAACAGAUCAAUGAGUUAAGUAUAAGAGCUAAAAUCAUAAGAAACUCUCAGAAGAAAACAUAAGGAUAAGUCUUUAUCACCUCAGAUGUGGCAAUGGACUUUUUAGAUAUGACACAAAAACAUGAACAACAAAAGGAAAAAUAAACUGGACUUUAUCAAGAUGAAAGCCUUUUGUGCAUCAAAGGACAUUAUCAAGAAAGUGAAAAGAUCACCCACCGAAUGGGAG